UACAGAGGUCUCAAGCGUUGUUCGGAUUCAUUGGGCGUAAAGGGCGCGUAGGCGGCGGGGUAAGUCGGGUGUGAAAUCUCAGAGCUCAACUCUGAAAUGGCACUUGAUACUGCUCUGCUAGAGGACUGGAGAGGAGAUUGGAAUUCACGGUGUAGCAGUGAAAUGCGUAGAUAUCGUGAGGAAGACCGGUGGCGAAGGCGGAUCUCUGGACAGUUCCUGACGGCUGAGGCGACGAAGGCCAGGGGAGCAAACGGGG
rnacentral:rRNA from 1 species